rnacentral:rRNA from 1 species
GCCCAAUAGCUAGCCUACCCCCAACAAAAUCAAUAACACCCCAUACAUACCCCCCAACAUACUACUAACCUAAAACAAACCAUUUUUCCUCCCAAGUACGGGCGACAGAAAAGGAACUAAGAGCAAUAGAGAAAGUACCGCAAGGGAAAGCUGAAAGAGAAAUGAAACAACCCAGUGAAGCCUAAAAAAGCAGAGACACACCCUCGAUUUU